GACAUUUUGGGGCUGCCACUGUCUGUGUGAGACAACAGCCACCCUUUCCCUCGAUCACAUCCCCUAUGCUUCACUUCCUCUCUCCGUGGUCCCCCUUCCUCAAUUCAGAAUGUCACCUGGUGAUAAGAUGACAUGCAUUUGAGCCUCAACCACCUUCCGGCACCCCCUCUCCUCUGCCCCUCAAGCCACAAGCCGAAAGCCGGCAGCUUUCCGAUUCCAGAGCAAGCUUGCCACAGGAAUCCUGCGAGGAAUAGCAGUUAGGUCUUAAUCUCCUCUCCUCCUGUCCCCCCCGGAGGCUAAGCCACUCUGCCUGGAUUUUCCCUCCCGCUCGCCCCCAUCCCGAACUCUCUCCCCGCCCCGCUUCUUUCCCCACGCACACGGCGGCUGCACCGUCACAGAAAGCAGGUGAACGCGGGGCCACGGGGCGCUCGGGUAGAAAUGCCACGUCGCGCCACCAAGUCACACCGUCCCUGCCCGUCCCUGCCCGUCCCUCUCCAGCCAUCCCGCUAACUACUGUAUUGGGGCCAUGCAGCCGCUGGAAUAAUCAGCGAAGCCACAGGUCUCCCCGUCUUGGCAAGUGGAGGUGAGCGCUGCCCUCAGACAUCUGUGAACCGCUGUUCAACGCCAACCCUGAAGGCAGAGGGGGAAACCAAGUCACCUCCCAGACAGACGUUUGAUGAGCAGAGAUAGAUUUGCCUCUAGACUGGUACCAGGGCUGGGAAACCCAGGCAGAGCCCCAGGCUCUGUGUGACCCAAAGAAGAAAAAAAUAGGUGCACAGUGAUGGCUCCAGGUCUGCCCACCCAGAUGCUACCACGAAAUCCCUGGCAUCCACGAAGCUUCCCCCUGUUCCACGGUGGAAACUGGGGGAAAAUGGACUUGUGUCUCCAAGCAGGGUCCAUGGACACUGGACGAUGCCUGAAAUCCCCUGGAAGGCAGGGAAAAGGCGCACUGAACGCUCAACCGGGGUAUAACGAGUGAUUUUUUUUUUUCUCUGCUGGCAGCAGGCAGGAACCUGGGGUUUGAAUGUCCCCUUCUCCGUCGCCACCUCACGCAGACUUCAGAGGCUCUCAAGGUUUCCUGGUGAGGGGGAAAUCAUCCCCGGAGCUGACCUGCCAACCAGCAGCACCCUCCAGCGCCACAGCCGGGCCACACCAAAAUGACCUGUCACCCAUCUCCUGCGGGGAGUGGGGAGCGGGCCAGUCCACCGCCUCUCGGGACGGCAUCUGGACGACCACUGACAGUACCAGUCUCUGUCACCCCCUGGGGGCAUAGGGGCGAUGUCAUCGGCCAGGGUGGCAGAAAUAGAAAAGUGCGUGAGCUCACCAGGCAGCCUGGGUCUCCCGCGACGUUUUGUUUGCCUGAGCCCAAUUAGAACAACUCUCAGGGUGAUGCAGUAUGGCGGGUGCUGGCCCCCAGGGGGCUGGGAGGCCUAGCCCCCAUGCAGAAGUGCACCGUCAUGAUGAGGGUGUCCCCCGGGCCUGGGGAACAGGGCAGGACCCUGCUUUCUGGAGGGGAAGAAUGAAGACUCCGCCAGCCUGCCAGCCAGAAAGAGAUGCCCCACGGAAGGCUUUGUGGAGGGCAGCAGGGGGGUGGGGGGGAUGCCCAGGUGGGGACUCAGUCAGGCCCAAGCUGGGGGGCUGUGGGAUUUGAGGGCGGGAAGCAGCCGCCCCCAGCCCCAGCUGCCUGCCUUCCACCGCCAAAAUAUCAGCUGGCAGAGAAAGAAGAGCAGAGGGACAGAAGGCAGGCGCGAUUGGCAGGGGGAGGGGGCACAAAGGAAGGGACCCUGGGAGAGGGAGGGGACUUAUGCAAAUGGCAGAUUCGACCAAGUCCCUAGGCCAUUAAUAAACGCUCCAGCAGCUGCCGCUGGUAUCUCA